GUGUCAGCCGCCGCGGUAAUACAGAGGGGGCAAGCGUUAUUCGGAAUUAUUGGGCGUAAAGGGCGCGUAGGCGGCUUCGCAAGUGGCGGGUGAAAUCCCUCGGCUCAACCGAGGAACUGCCCUCCAAACUGCGUGGCUCGAGUCCGGGAGAGGUGAGUGGAAUUCCCAGUGUAGCGGUGAAAUGCGUAGAUAUUGGGAGGAACACCGGUGGCGAAGGCGGCUCACUGGACCGGUACUGACGCUGAGGCGCGAAAGCGUGGGGAGCAAACGGGAUUAGAUACCCUUGUAGUCC
rnacentral:rRNA from 1 species